AUUGAACGCUGGCGGCAGGCCUAACACAUGCAAGUCGAGCGAGCGGCGGACGGGUGAGUAAUGUCUGGGAACCUGCCUGAUGGCGGGGGAUAACUACUGGAAAAGGUAGCGAAUACCGCAUACCAUCAGAUGUGCCCAGAUGGGAUUAGCUAGAAGGUGGGGUAACGGCUCACCUGGGCGACGAUCCCUAGCUGGGCUGAGAGGAUGACCAGCAACACUGGAACUGAGACACGGUCCAGACUCCUACGGGAGGCAGCAGUGGGGAAUAAUGCACAAUGGGCGGAAGCCUGAUGCAGCCAUGCCGCGUGUGUGAAGAAGGCCUUCGGGUUGGAAAGCACUUUCAGCGGGGAGGCGUUACCCGCAGAAGAAGCACCGGCUAACUCCGUGCCAGCAGCCGCGGUAAUAC
rnacentral:rRNA from 1 species